UCAAAAACAUUUCCUAUUCUUUUAUAUAAUAGGUAAGCCCUGCCCAGUGAAAUUUUAACGGCCGCGGUAUCCCUGACCGUGCGAAGGUAGCAUAAUCAUUUGCCUCUUAAUUGGUGGCUAGUAUGAAUGGGUAAACAUCAGUUAUAGCUUUCUUAUAAGCCUGCAAAUAAAUUUAGAAUUUCAGUGAAAAUACUGAAAACAAACAGAAAGACAAAAAGACCCUAUCGAGCUAUAUUUUAUAAACUAUAUAAUUUGUUGGGGCAACAAAGGACUAAUAUAAACAUCCUUAACUAAUAACCUUUAUAGACGAAAAAUAAAAAAAAUGAAAAGCUACCGUAGGGAUAACAGACUUAUUUUUUCUGAGAGCUCAAAUUGACGAAAAAGAUUAGCACCUCGAUGUUGGCUCAGGAUUACUUAUACGUGCAGCAGCGUAUAAAGUAGGUUUGUUCACCCUUUAAUUUCCUACGUGAUCUGA
rnacentral:rRNA from 1 species